rnacentral:misc_RNA from 1 species
GAUGAAGAACGUAGCGAAUUGCGAUAAGUAAUGUGAAUUGCAGAAUUCAGUGAAUCAUCGAAUCUUUGAACGCACAUUGCGCCCGCUGGUAUUCCGGCGGGCAUGCCUGUUCGAGCGUCAUUUCAACCCUCAAGCCCCCGGGUUUGGUGUUGGGGAUCGGCUCUGCCCUUCUGGGCGGUGCCGCCCCCGAAAUACAUUGGCGGUCUCGCUGCAGCCUCCAUUGCGUAGUAGCUAACACCUCGCAACUGGAACGCGGCGCGGCCAUGCCGUAAAACCCCAACUUCUGAAUGUUGACCUCGGAUCAGGUAGGAAUACCCGCUGAACUUAAGCAUAUCAAUAAGCGGAGGA